AGUCUCGCCCAUUACAUGAUUUACAUAUGUCACCAAAUAUGGAAGCAGUCAAUCUCUAUUUUCCAUGCCGGAGACGAUGCUUGUAAUCGAGUAUUUUUUCUCGAUUUUUAUGAUAUCCUGAUAAAAUACUUUGACACAGUCCUUUACCUAAUAAUGGGUAAAGGGUUAUGUCAAAUAAUCAUGAUCGAGGAUGGCUGUUUUCAGACUUUCGUAAUCAAAGCUAUAUUUGCAUGUAGUCCUUAAUUGAGAAUUUAAAAUGUUCACCAACAAAUUCAGGUCUGUUGCGGGAACGCUCAGGGCGAGGAUCAUCAUCAUUGUUGACGCCAGAAAUUUAGUUUUCGUACAGUUACUGGUAUAUACUAACAUUUUUCCAACAAACCUCUGCAUAUCUUUUCAGUAACAUUGGGUUAUCCACCAUAUAAUUUUCUGGGAAAAGUAUGUAGUGUCUGUAGGGGACUUUGAUGUAUAAAGAUUGCCAUUAGAAACAAAAUAUUCCAUUAUCAGGAGAGCAGAAAUCACAAGUUUACAGGUCCCAUGUGGACCGAUUCUUGCCACACAUUCACAAUACUAGCUUCAGUUAUACCAGAAAAUAUUGUUUUCUGUAUGUCUUCCUAUGAUUCCACGAAGUUCAAGGCCAAGCCUGAAUCUUUCAUUUUUUUUUCCUUUGCGCAUGGAAGCAAUAUCAAAUUUUGAUAUCAUCCUCUACUUGUCGAUGUAUAACAUAAUGGUCAAUGAUCCAAAGGGAUGAUAGCUCUUUGUUAUCUUGGUGAUUCAGUCCUUGCUCACUAAAGAAACAGAUUCCGAGGAUUGAACUUAUUUGACAUUAGCAUCGAAAGGAGGAGAGACCUUCCAUAAUCAUUUAGAAACUAUUUCCAAAGAAAAAAAAAGCAAUUUGCUUGUUACCUAACUUUGUUCUAGUAACAUUGCCCUAUAGAUGGAUUCGUUUUAAUGCAUUUAAAUCCAAAUUGUAAUUCAAGGACUACUAGCGGGAAGGACUUCAUACGUUUCUUACUUCUUGACAACAGUAGAUUCUUGAAAUUAACUUCUUGGGUUGUCCAACUCAUACCUGGAAGAACAAUUUUGAGUCAAGAAUACUUUUAAUUUAGUUAUCAUCACUUAAUAAAAUCAGUUUCAUAACGUUUUAAAUAAUAAUGAGUAAUAAAAUUAACGGACUUUUGUCGAAUAACCACUUC
rnacentral:lncRNA from 1 species